rnacentral:rRNA from 1 species
AUUGAACGCUGGCGGCAGGCCUAACACAUGCAAGUCGAAUGGUAACAGGAAACAGCUUGCUGUUUCGCUGACGAGUGGCGGACGGGUGAGUAAUGUCUGGGAAACUGCCUGAUGGAGGGGGAUAACUACUGGAAACGGUAGCUAAUACCGCAUAACGUCUCAAGACCAAAGAGGGGGACCUUCGGGCCUCUUUCCAUCAGAUUUGCCCAGAUGGGAUUAGCUAGUAGGUGGGGUAACGGCUCACCUAGGCGACGAUCCCUAGCUGGUCUGAGAGGAUGACAAGCCACACUGGAACUGAGACACGGUCCAGACUCCUACGGGAGGCAGCAGUGGGGAAUAUUGCACAAUGGGCGCAAGCCUGAUGCAGCCAUGCCGCGUGUAUGAAGAAGGCCUUCGGGUUGUAAAGUACUUUCAGCGGGGAGGAAGGGAGUAAAGUUAAUACCUUUGCUCAUUGACGUUACCCGCAGAAGAAGCACCGGCUAACUCCGUG